rnacentral:rRNA from 1 species
CGUAGGGAGCAAGCGUUGUUCGGAUUUACUGGGCGUAAAGGGCGCGUAGGCGGCAUAUUAAGUCAGCUGUGAAAUCUCCGAGCUUAACUCGGAACUGUCAGCUGAUACUGAUGUGCUCGAGUGCGGAAGGGCAAUCGGAAUUCUUGGUGUAGCGGUGAAAUGCGUAGAUAUCAAGAGGAACACCUGAGGUGAAGACGGGUUGCUGGGCCGACACUGACGCUGACAGCGCGAAAGCCAGGGGAGCAAACGGGAUUAGAUACCCCGGUAGUCCUGGCCUUAAACGAUGAAUACUUGGUGUCUGGAGUCUCUAUAGCUCCGGGUGCCGUCGCCAACGUUUUUAGUAUUCCGCCUGGGGAGUACGCACGCAAGUGUG